ensembl:lncRNA
UGAGCACUUCAUGUGUUUUCAGAGCCUGGGUUUGUUUUCCUCCUGCACUUUUCAUAGCGGUGUUGAAGCUGUGCUGUCAAGGGAUCAGUGAGGGCUUAUGAACUCAGUGGCAAAGGCAGGCAAGUAGAAUGCGGUGAUUUUAUUCUUUUUUUUUUUUUUCAUCCUCCUGCCUUGACAUCACUGCAUCAGCUUCUCUCAGAUCCACAUUUGCCUGCAUUCCUGUGGAAACCAUAUCACAAGAAUAACUGAAGCACUUGUAAGUGACUUGCACAAAGAGUUGACUCAGAACUCAGGUCAGUCUUCCGCUCUCAUUGUUGCACUUUGCUCCAUCCUCCUCCCUACCAGCUCAUGGAGUCUCUCUUGUUUUUUCCUUGGCUAUCUAUUUCACUACAACAGUUGGCUGAAGAACCAGGAAGCUGUUUCUUAGCUUAAUUUAUACUUUUGUUUCCAUUCUGCAGUAGUUACUUGGUCUCCUUGAAGUUUCAAACUGAGAAUACUUGGAGAGCUCUCAACUUGGUGAUGUUAGUCUUUCCAAAGCUCUCACAGUAAUCCAUAAAUAUAGUGGUUCUAAAUAUUCGUAAGUGGAAAGAAAGAGUCUGAAGAUCUUGAAGUGGCUCUCAGGGUCAAGUUGAUGAGAUCUAAAGCUGCCAGCCCUGAGAUUUCCUUUCCACACCCCCCCCCCCCAGAAGAAAAGCUCUUCUUGGACCUUGUGAAUAACCCCAGAAAACUACUAUGUCCUGCCAUGCUCUUUAUCACUGGAUGACAAAAGAGGAUUAUGACUAUUGUUAGGCAUUGAUUUUACUUUUCACCAAGCAAAAUCUCCAAUAAGCUAUACUUGGAAGAAUCGUUUGGGCUGAGUAAUCUCCUUGUCACACACUUGCUGCAAACAGAUGGAUUACUUUUGAUGUACGGUGGUAAAAUACUUCUCUCAUUUGGAGUCUUGCAAGAUGUACUUGUGCAGAUAAUGAAAGACAACACAUUAUUUCAAGAGUACUAGAGAUGCCUCUGUUAUCUAUGGAUAAAUCAGUGCUGAUAAGAGCAACAGAGUUCCAGUCCAAGG